rnacentral:lncRNA from 10 species
UCUCCACUUGUUCCUAACCCACUGAGAAAUCGGCUCAUUAUUGACUCAGAGGGAUGAACGCCAGAUCCUGACUCACCGGUAACCACUUCCUGCAGAAAUCCUCCAGCCCUGUUAGAAAUGCCUCAGCCAGGGGGACUCAUCUCCUCAAACCUGGGGGACCGAGACCUAUGAGAGGUCACAGCAUGAGCCAGGACAUCGGAGGUACCCAGACAUUGUUAUGAAACUCCGCAUGUGCCCCUGGUGGACGCUGCUGGACCCAGCAUGCACACUUCUCGGCUAAGAGUCACCCUGGAUGAACCACCAUUGCCAGCGGGGAGCAUGUUGCAGCUUUCCCACGCAGUGGAUGAGAACGAAGGUUACGACCAUUGUGUGGGAGGCGUCUGUGUAGCAAUUGCUGGAAUCACUUGUGGCAUUGUAGAAAGACUGAGCGUGGGAAAGAAGACGCAUUCUGAAGUCACCCCGAUUUAUGUUAAAUUAUCACCUUGACUACUGCUAUAGAACGAAUGUUUAUGUCCCCCACCCAAAUUCGUAUGCUAAGACCUAAUAGCCAAUAAGAUAGUAUUAAUAGAUGGGGCCUUUGGGAGGUGAGUGGCUCAUGAGGGCAGAGUCCUCAAAACCAGAUAAGUGCCCGAAUAAAAGGGGCCCCAGAGAGAUCCCUUGCACCGUCUACCAUGUGAAGUGUAGAACACAGCGAGAAGGCCACCUAUGAGCCAGAACGUGGGCCCUCACCAGAACCCAGUUGUGCUGGCACCCUGAUCCUGGACUUCCAGCCUCCAAAAUGACGACAAAGAAGUUUGUUUUUCCUGAGCCAUCCACUUCAAAGUAUUCUGUCAUAGCUCCCCAAAUAGACUAAGACAUCUACUUAACCUUGGUCAAACGUUUAACCUUGGAGUCCACGCCUCUGAAAUGGUGACAAUAACACUGUGUAUUUCCUACUUUAUGAUCAGGAUUAAUAAAUGUAAUUUAUUAAUCAGAAAUUAGUAAUUUCUGAUUAUUAAUUCUAUGGUGCUUGAUACUUGAUUGAGGCUUAUUUAAUAUUUGGAUCUCUUUUAAUUUUUUUCUUUUUUGCUCUUUCUUUCUGCUUUUCCUCUUCCCCUUUUCCUAUUGAAAUAGAAUGCAGAGGAUAAAGCAAGCAAACAAAAAAACUUCCAGAAGAAUCACAGAGUUUUAGACCUAGAAAAAAACUGAAAAAUCAUCCAUUCCACUCUCCUCAUUUUACAGAUGAGGGCAUCGAGCCUCAGAGAAAUGAAACUUGCCCAAGACCACACAGCAAAGAGACGUAUUUUAAAGAAUUGGCUCGUGGGAUUGUGGGGCCUGGAAAUCUGAAAUCUGCAGAGAAAGCCAGCAGGCUGGAAAUUCAGGAAGUGGCGAGGAAAGAAGAAUGAAGACAAAGAAUAUGGAGUUUCCAUUGAUUUAGCCAAGUCCAUAACAGAAGAAAAGUGCCUUCCUUCGGAACUUCCAAUACAAUGUGUGAGAAUGGACCUGUUACAACUUGUAUUACUCGCAGGGUUCCCCCACUACCAAGAAUAGGGGUGGCCUUAGAAGGCACUCUGAAGCAAGAAUCAGCAAGUGACUGAAUCUAUGAGACUCGUAUUGAUCAGCCUCAAAAGAAAUGAGUCCUACCUUCUCGGUCUCUUAAGAAAUUCAUUCUCUUGAAAAGCAAUUCAAAAAGAGCUUUCCCUAAUACACAUUAGAUAAACAAUGAGAUAUCCUCCUAGCUUUCUCUUGGGAAACUUUCACUUUAUAUCUUUUCAAUUUAUUCUCAUCUUUUUUUUUGUUCCUUCCUUCCCUACUUUUAGGCUUUGUCGUUCAAAAGCUAGCUCGUAGAAUUUUUUUAAAUCUUUGUAUUCAUAUAUCCCUAACUAGAGCAUGAUCUUUUUCUGGCUGGUGGAUCCUCCCCAGAAUGUUUGCAUGUAUUAGGGCUCCAGUGAAUAGGUGUUGGUCAUGAGGAAGGAUGACCAGCUAAGGGAGCUAAUGGCUUAGACAGACACUGUAGAAUUGCAAGGAAUAGAGAUGUGCUCAAGAUACCUUGGUUGGCGAGGUUUAUUGUUGCAGAAACACACUGGGUGGUAGCCAGUCAACCAAGACGGCGGCCAUCAAUUCCUUACCUUUCUUUGUGUACAUGCUGCACCCCAUGACCAAAGGUAGGGCCUUUUUUCUCCUCCCUUGUAUUUCGACUGGCCUCAUACCUUGCUUUCAACAGUGAAAUGUAACAGUGGUGAAGUUGGACUUGUUCCAAGCCUAGACUUUAAGCCUUCUGUUUCCUACUUCUUAGAAGCCAGUCACCAUGCAAGAAGCCUGCCUACCCAGUAACCAGCUGUGAGAAGUCCAAGCUGGCUACACAAAGGGGGGGACACUGAGGUGCCAGACAGGUGGGUAAGGCCUGCCUGAACCUUCCAGCUCUGCCCAACACUCAGCUGAAUGCAGUGAAUCAGCCAGCCCAGCUGAGAACACAGUGAGCAGAGGUUCUGAUCCUGCCUGGAUUCCAGACCCACAGAAUCCAGAGAAAUCAUGUGACUUUAAGCCACUAACUUUUGCAAUAGAUUAAUGUACAACAAUAGAUAAAACACACAGAAAAGUCAAGAAAAUGUUUUUGAAGAAAAGUGAUCUCCGUAGGUUAACUGCAGUUGGUUAAUACUAAUUUAUUGUAUAUUUCAAAAUAGCUAGAAGAUAAUAAUUAGAAUGUUCCUAGCAUAAAGAAAAGACAAUUUAAGGUGAUGGAUAUGCCAAUUACACUGAUUUGAUCUUUACACAUUAUAUGAAUGUAUUCAAUUAUCACAUGUACCCUGAAAAUAUGUACAUCUAUUAUGUGUAAUAAAAAUAAAUCAAAACUUUUUAAAGAAUAAAAAGCGGUCGCACAUCUAAACAGGGC